AUUGCUUCUCAGCCUUUUGGCUAAGAUCAAGUGUAGUCUUUGUUCUUAUCAGUUUAACUAAUGAGCAACUUGUAACACCCAGCUGAACUCAGU
rnacentral:snRNA from 1 species